AGAACCUACCAAUUUCCAACCAAUCCCUCGUUUAACUCCGAGGCAAGACAAUCUUCUCCAAGGCACAAUCCAUUUUUUUUUUAAAAAGGAAAAACUUUUUAGCACAUUGGUAUAAUUAUUAGUACCAAUUAUUAGUAUAUGAAAUGAAAGUCUCUCUCCUCUUUCAUUCAUUCAGACUUCUUGUUAUGUUAGCUAAGAUCGAUCAAAACGAACCUCUUCUUUUUCUCUAUCGUCAUCUCUACGAACCCUAGCUCUUCACUCUCUCUGUGCUUCGAUCAAAGCUCACAUUUUUAAACUUUGAGUAUGGCUUCCGGAUCAUCGGGUCGUAACAACUCUGCUUCGAAAGGGUUUGAUUUCGCCACCACCGAUGACAUUGUUUCCUCGCAUGAGGACUACGACAAUGAGGAUAAUUAUAAUGGAACGCACUCUGAUUCCGUGAUCGGAUCCAAUUCUGCUAAGCUUUGAAGAGCAAUGCAGUGGUCCAGAGAACAAUGCAAUGACGAUAGAUAUAGGAACACGGAGUUAUCAGCUUUUGGGAAGUGCUUGCGUGGAUUGAGUGCUCUUAAUAUUGAUGCACUUGGGCAUUCCAUUUGAUUGAACAUUGGGUUUUGUAUUUUACUUUCAAUAUUCCUUUAUAUUUCCGUUGUGCAGUUUAUAUUGUUGUAAUGGAUUAGGGUGUUUUUGUUUCAAUUUUCAUCAGGGAGAUAAUGUACCCCCUCCUUUAACAUUAUUUGAAGCUACUGGUUUUCCUUAGUUGGUAUUAAUUCUUCAUUUUAACAUUGCAUUUUUAAUUUAUAGUCACGUUUUUACAUUCGAGAACCAAAUGAAAGCCUUUAUAUUCUCUCUCAUUUAUUAUUGUUGAUUUGAAACAUUUAAAGUAUGGAGAACUUCAUGUGAUUUCAAGUCUUGCUACACUUAGGGUAAUAUUGUUCCUAGUUUUAUUUUUUCUACUUUAACCAAAUAAGUGAGAUUUGAAAAGUAACCUGUUAUUUAGGAAAUUAAUUAAUGUCCUUUGAAUACCAGGGAAAAUGAGCAGCUAUCCAAGUAUGGUGACACUAAAACAGCUCGUAGCAUAAUGUUGAUAGAGCUUAAAAUACUUAUAGAAGCAAAUCCUCUUUUCCGCGAAAAGCUUGUUUUCCCUACUUUAAAGUCAUCAAGAUUGUGGACUCUGAUCAAUCAAAGUCUGAAUUGGUAGCACCAACUUUGUAAAAAUCCUAGGCCAAAUCCAGACAUAAAGACUUUGUUCAUGGACCAUACUUGCACACCUCCAAAUGGGGUUCUUGCACCUACUUCUGUUUCUCUUCCACCUGUUGAAGUUGCGAAGCCUACUGCUUAUCUAUCACUUGGAGCACAUGGUCCCUUUCUGCCUGCUGCAGCAACUGCUAAUGCUAAUGCCUUAGCAAGUUGGAUGGUGAAUGCUACUGCUUCUUCAUCCGUUCAUGCGGCUGUUGUUACUGCAUCUUCCUUACCUGUUCCACCAAGUCAAGGAAUAUUGUAGAUGCUAUGCUGGUGGACUGUUUGGUGUGUACUUUGCUCUGCUGCAACAGGUGGCAGCAUAGGAGAUAUUCACUUGAUAGCAUGACCUUUCAUCCUCUAUAUUUGAUCCUUGCUGUCAACUUUUGCUUAUGCGUAUCUUAGUGACUAUUUUUUUUGAAGUGAUUCACUUAUUCUUUUGGACAGGUUCAAUCUUGAAACGUCCAAUAACACCACUAGCCACUCUGGUUAUGGUUGAUUAUCAGAGCACUGAUCAUGAACAAUUAAUGAAAUGUCUGCGACCAGCACAAUCCGUUGAAGAGUUGGUUCUGCUACUGGUGAAAUAACACUCUGGGAAGUGGGGAUGCGAGAUAAAUUGGUUUCAAAGCCAUUCAAGAUAUGGGACAUCACAAAUUGUUCUAUGCCGCUUUAGGUUCCUUUUCAUCUCUUUGUGCUGCUUCAUUUUUAUUACUUUCCUUUUCUUUAAAAAAAAAAAAAAAAAAAAAAAAAAAUCAUUCAAAAAAAAAACCUUGUUGCUUGUUAUCUUAGCGUUCUAUGAUGUGAUAUAUACCUAUGAUAUGAGAUAUUUAUGUAGGUUGUAAACAGCAUGUAUAAAUUAAUUGUGACCAGAUUUUUUCUUGCUUGAUUUGGGGACAUUUAUAAUACUAAUCUUCAACUAGCUGUUGUCAAAUAUUAAUUUUUU